GAAAAGAAAGGAAAACUUGAGAAAGAGAUAGAUCAUGACUGCUACGAACAAAAACAAGUUAAUAUCAGAAAGACGACAGACAAAAGGAGCACAACCGGCUGAAAAAUGUUGACAAUCCCAUCUUUAACACGUUCAUUUUUCGCUUCAGAUUGUACUGAUGAGGGCGUCGGUGAUUGUUGGAAGCUAAGCUGUUCAUCGCUUCCCAUCACUUGAGUAAGAGCUGUAACCAUGGCUGUCAUGUCCGCGGAUUCAGUCCAUGAAGUUGCGGCUGCUGCAAAUUCAUCGCGUCCUUUGCUUUUCUCCUCCGAUGUUUCGGAUGGAAGCGGACGUUUUCCAUGCCUUCGAUCCACCGUUUUUUUUCCCCAAAAAACACUGCUAAUACUAUGUAUAGUUCGCAGAUAUGUAAAGAAUGGUUUGCUAGAUAGCUAGCUGCCUGGGGUAAUGUAUAUCAAUGGAGAGAUGUGUGGGAUUAAGACAGGAGGGGAUCGACGGUUAUGAGAUUGAAGUGAGGGUGCAAUAUAUUUGGGUUAAACUAUAUAAUGGGGGAAAUGGGGGAGGAUAUUUAGAAGAGGAAAUUUUCGGGUUUUAUUGGAUCCGACACUGGACAGUCCUUUUGGGGCUCCAAAAUACCCAUAUAUUAACUGUGUCACUUAAAUUACAAAUCCACUUGUAAACAAAAGCUAGACAAAUAAAGGAAUUAAAUAGUGAUACAAAGGAAA